rnacentral:rRNA from 1 species
UACGGAGGGUGCAAGCGUUAUCCGGAUUUACUGGGUUUAAAGGGUGCGUAGGAGGGCAGGUAAGUCAGUGGUGAAAUCCCCGAGCUUAACUUGGGAACUGCCGUUGAUACUAUCUGUCUUGAAUACCGUGGAGGUGAGCGGAAUAUGUCAUGUAGCGGUGAAAUGCUUAGAUAUGACAUAGAACACCAAUUGCGAAGGCAGCUCGCUACACGAAUAUUGACUCUGAGGCACGAAAGCGUGGGGAUCAAACAGG